AAGUGUUCCCAUAUUUACUUAGAAUUUAUUAAACACCUUUUUUAAAUAGAAAAGGACAAUUCAGGAAGAACAGAAAUGCAUAACACAGAAUAAGUGAAACUGCAGCAGCAGCUUAUUACAACCACUACAAAAGGGAUGUGCAGCUGACUGCUGCAUGUGAUGGAGUACCCAAAUACUAGCUGGUGCUGCUUCUUUUCCACAUUUGAAUGAUUUAUAGCAGAAACUCCAGAAAUACUCUCCUGCAGCUUGACAUCUGCUUAAUUGAACAGGAAAGCAUUGCACUGAGCUAGCAAGUUGAACACAGGAUGAUAGGCACUCAUAGGUAACGUGCACAAAGCAAUCUGGAAAUCGUGGCUAUUGGCUGCCAUUCUCUGUUGCUAAGUACAGUACAGCAUAGCUGUUAUGGAGCUAACUGGUGCAGGGCUUCCUCAACCAAGUAAUGUCCAGGUUGGUCUUGUACAAGAAACAGCACUUAUGCUUUGUCAUUUCCCUGCUGUGACGUCUCUGAUGUCCAUGACUGGGUGCGGAAGCUGGUAUUUGGCAAGCUGCACUACAAAAGAAACCUGCUAAUUCUGAAAAGUGGUGUUUUGGGCUCAGCUGUCACUCCUGGAUGAAAUACGUUCUACCUUGCAGAGUAGACUAAUAAGACUGCCCGUGCAAUGUGUAAGGUUUUCUUUUGUCCUUUAUAAAACUGAAAGGACUGAAAUAAUAGUUCAGGAGAAGAUUUUGAUAUCCUCGUUCCAGCGUGCCUUGGCAGUCCCCACACUGUGAAUAGUUUCUCCAGCUCCAGUGGAAUGCCUCUUGGAUGGAAGAUAGCCCUCACAGUGAAUUCAGCUGCUCUCCUGCUGCAGGAAUGUGCGGGCACACUGUUACACAUUAUAGAGGGAAAAUUACACAAACCUGUCCAAUGACAAGUGUAUAGCGUCGACAAUGUAUCCAAGAAAAGCUAUUGUGUGCAUUAAAGAAUGUGUCUUUUUGGCACUUGCUGAAAUAAGAAGAGGCAAGACUGUGCAGUCUGAGCUCUUCUUAAACCUUUACACGAUGAGGCAGAGCAAGUUUCUGAGCACUUCUGCAGCACUUCCCUGUACCAGUCCCCUUCCCUGCUCCCCUCGCCGACAAUUCUGUAGAGCGUUCGCUCCAGUUCAGCGGCUGCUGACAAAUGCUGCACCUUUCUGCUCCAGCCCCUUGUUGCUUACACACGGGAAUCAAACAAUCAGAAGAACCUCAAGCUUAUUUUCAUCUAAGUAACUUGUUUAUUUCUAAACCUACAAAGCAAAUGCACUCUUUGCUCUGCAAUUUAAUGUCUGCCUCUUUUUCCGCCAAGGUUGAUUUGGUAUUUCCUUUACAAACCUCAAUUGUUGGCAUUAAGAACUUGGCCAUUUCAACUCUACUGGACUAAAACUUGGCAACCAAAUUGUGAGCUAGCAGCUAAAUUGUUUCACUAAAAUUUCUUUCAUUUUUAUCAUUAAUCUGUGGCCAAUCUUUAUCUCUGCAGUUCCCACCACACUUCUAAGUCCCCCGAAGGUGAAUCGCUGGAAGUAACUUGGAAGUGCAGCUGACCGCCCGUACAAACACUUAAAUAAGAGACCCAGAACCCGAGCUCCAUAACAAAAUGCAGUUUCACUCUGUUUUUCUGCCUGCAGGCAGCCUUUCUUACACUUCUGCAUAUCAAGGAAGUGUCCCAGGAGAAGCCACAAGAUAGAGUCCUUAACAAAGCAGGAAGAGCAGAAAACCACAAAGGCACAUAGCAAGUCACUAUUAGGUCAAGGCCUGUGCUCACCAAUCCUGUGCAGAACUGGAGACGCAGUGAGCAUUCCAUAGCAGCCAGUGGUCAGAGGGCCGGCAAGGAUGGGAGUGGAGGAAUGGCUGUGGAAGAUGAGAGUGAAUAACCCAUGCCGUGUGGAUGCUGGCAGCCCUGAAACCAUUAGGAACAGGGCUCAGCAGCCUGCUCCCUGGUGCUGUGCCAUCAGAAGAGAUUUUGGUCUGCUGUUCAUCUCAAGAAGUGAAAUGACAGCAGAACUGCCGAUGUGAUGCAAGAUGCGAUUGGGAUAUACGAUUUUUUUUUCCAGGAGAAAUGCUUGAUUCUGCCAGGAUCUGGUGCAGGGAAUAUUUUGCAAUGAUGUGGACUCAAAUCUAGGCAACCGCUGAGCAGAUCUAAAUGGCCAAGUGAAGGAGAAUCCAGUGUUCUUUCACUGUCAUGGGUCAGAAAAGCAGACCAUCUUCAACACGCAUUCAGCCCUUCAACUGCCUCACGUCCUUCAGUUCAUGGCACAGCCUGAGGCUGAGUGGGGAUCACCAGGUCAGCUCAGGCCUUUAACAGAGACCUCUCUUUGACUCAGGCAAGCCUAGCUUCUAAAAUCAGGAAUUUUAAAAACUAUUGGCAAAAAUCAUCUGAUUUGAGCUUGCUAUGUUAAAUCACAUCUAAGGAAUAUUUAGGCUUGGUGAAGUGUGUUUAACUUCUUCAUAUGUGAAUGCUGAAUCCAAAAUACACUAAUUUCUAAGAACCACAGUAAUUAAACUGCCUUGCCAAUAGUAUGGCAAGGAUCAUUUGGUUAAGCCACCAUCUAGCAUAGACAUUGAAAGCCCUAAGAUGUAUGUGGAAAGAUAAAUAUCUAUGCUUAGCUUUAUCUUUAAGAUGUUUUGAUAGUGACUAUUCUGUGACACAAUAUUCAUAACUUGUGGACACAUUGUGAAGCAGUUUUCCAAUAUCAAGUCCAUCACUGCAUUUCUGGGAGGAUGCAACUGUUUCCUUUUUAAAGCCACCAAAGAAACCAUCAGAAGAAAAGAUUUGUGCUCAUCUUUCAUUAACCUGACAUACAAAAUCCAGGGACCCUUGCUCCUUGAUCAAAGACAGCAGCAUGAGCAAGCCAUGAAUCAGAUUGACAUCAUAAUCCCUAUUUUUCUGCACAAUGAAUUCAAGGGAUAGGUAUUCCUCUGAUACUCUACAGGCAAAGAUUAGGAUAAGGCACAUCACUACAGACAUUGGGAAGCUCCAUUUUUGGUGACUGUGCACUGUGCAGCUGAACUGAUUGCAUGAAGAAACUACAGUGAUUUCCUGUGAGCUGCAGAUCCUGUUCACAUUGCUGGCUCCACAAGCCUACAAGCCCCAGUGCAGUGCACAGGCACACACUG
ensembl:lncRNA